GACGAACGCUGGCGGCGUGCUUAACACAUGCAAGUCGAACGAAGAGCGAUGGAAGCUUGCUUCUAUCAAUCUUAGUGGCGAACGGGUGAGUAACGCGUAAUCAACCUGCCCUUCAGAGGGGGACAACAGUUGGAAACGACUGCUAAUACCGCAUACGAUCUGACCUCGGCAUCGAGGAUAGAUGAAAGGUGGCCUCUACAUGUAAGCUAUCACUGAAGGAGGGGAUUGCGUCUGAUUAGCUAGGUGGAGGGGUAACGGCCCACCAAGGCGAUGAUCAGUAGCCGGUCUGAGAGGAUGAACGGCCACAUUGGGACUGAGACACGGCCCAGACUCCUACGGGAGGCAGCAGUGGGGAAUCUUCCGCAAUGGACGAAAGUCUGACGGAGCAACGCCGCGUGAGUGAUGACGGCCUUCGGGUUGUAAAGCUCUGUUAAUCGGGACGAAAGGCCUUUUUGCGAAUAGUGAGAAGGAUUGACGGUACCGGAAUAGAAAGCCACGGCUAACUACGUG
rnacentral:rRNA from 1 species